rnacentral:rRNA from 1 species
GGUGAACGCUGGCGGUAGGCCUAACACAUGCAAGUCGAACGGCGGCACAGAGGAGCUUGCUCUCUGGGUGGCGAGUGGCGGACGGGUGAGGAAUACAUCGGAAUCUACUUUUUCGUGGGGGAUAACGUAGGGAAACUUACGCUAAUACCGCAUACGACCUACGGGUGAAAGCAGGGGAUCUUCGGACCUUGCGCGAUUGAAUGAGCCGAUGUCGGAUUAGCUAGUUGGCGGGGUAAAGGCCCACCAAGGCGACGAUCCGUAGCUGGUCUGAGAGGAUGAUCAGCCACACUGGAACUGAGACACGGUCCAGACUCCUACGGGAGGCAGCAGUGGGGAAUAUUGGACAAUGGGCGCAAGCCUGAUCCAGCCAUACCGCGUGGGUGAAGAAGGCCUUCGGGUUGUAAAGCCCUUUUGUUGGGAAAGAAAUCCAGCUGGUUAAUACCCGGUUGGGAUGACGGUACCCAAAGAAUAAGCACCGGCUAACUUCGUGCCAGCCGCCGCAGUAA